UGUGUGUUUUCUCUUUCCUUCUUUCUUUCUUUCUUUCUUUCUUUCUUUCUUUCUUUCUUUCUUUCUUCCUUCCUUCCUUCCUUCCUUUCUUUCUUUCUUUCUUUCUUUCUUUUUUUUUUAAGUGUGCUUUUUGCAAAAGAACGCUUAGAAAAGUCAAUGCUUUAGGUUUCUGCUGGAUGCAUGCUCUGUUCUUGAAAAAAAAAAAAGAAAAAGAAAAAGUCCCUUGGAAACGGUGGAAAGGAUGCUUUACUAAUGCAUGAAUGCUUAUGGACUCUCGCAUUUUUACCAAUCACAAGAGGAAAUGGAUUUAAACAGCCACGUAAUCUGGUCUGCCUCACCGUGAAUGAGGUGCCCUGCUAAACACCACACAAACAGCCUUUCUCUGACCACAGUGAUGUAGUUGACAACAGCGUACAACAGGUCUGUUUUCUCACCCUCUUAUCCCACCCAGAUAACAUCUGGUUGGACAGCCUAUUAGCUAUUGAUGCAAGAAUGCUUGUUCUCAGAGCCACCAGGACAUGAGCGGGAGCCUUCUUGGAAGCCUCAUCAAGAGGUAAUGCCACAACACACUCACCAACUCUGCUGCCACCAACACUUAUCUUUUCCUGGUGUACCCGCAUGAUUUCAUUUCCUUCUCCAGUUUUCCCCAUCCGCCCCCUACUACCUUUUACAUUGGUGGGAGAAUGGGGCGGGGGUUGGAGUGAUCCCCAUUGGCUCCUCUGCUCACCGACACUGACCUUUAACCAGCGGACGCUUCACAGGAUAGGUUGGGUCCCUCUACUGUGACAAUAGGCAGCAGCUUACAGUUUGAAGAGUCAUUAGCUGUAUGGUUGACAAAUACAGACAGGGUAAAAAGUUGCAGGGAAAAAAAAAUGAUACUAUCCAUUCCUUCCCACCUACUCUUCUCUCUUUCCCCACUGCUCAUCUCGGACUUAGAGAAUUUCCAUAAACCUUUCCCCAGCAGAAUGGUUUCUGAGUUUAUAGCUAAAGCCCCAGACCUCAGGUACUAAUGACCUCUUUAUUUACCUGUGGUCACUGUCCUUGGGCACUUCUGUGCAAGCUGCAUUUCUCUCCCUCUUCCCUUGGGAUUUCAAGGAGAGAAUCUUUCAAGUUUUUGGUGUAACAAGAACUUCACAGAGCAUCUGAAAGGUCAUAGGCCAGCCUUCUGACUACCACAUGCCUUAGAGGGCUAGCCAUGACAUGCACGGAAACUAUGCCGGAGUGCUCCUCGGUGCCUUGCAUAUCUGAUCUGGCUUCCACUUGUCCAGGGCCUUAAACAAGUAACUGCAUGUCCACAACCUCAGAGCGGAGGAUAAAUGGCCCACAAAACAGUCCUCUCAUCCUUGAGAUACCUAUUUACAAAACUGGACUGGUCAGUUGCUGAGUAGGGGUAAUUAUAGAAGCUACAAUUCUUACUACAAAUGCUUGAUUAAACGUUGGCAUGGGACACAUUCUCAUUUUAUUAACCAUUUCUCUCUUAAGAGGAACUCUUUGUAGAAAUCACUAUUAGGUCCGAGCCCACAGCCACCAUUUUCCUGGAGUGAGGCCGUGAGCCCCUCUCUACAUCAUCACUAGCAGCUAACUUCUAGGCUGAGAAUGCCUUUCUCUGGACACAGAGUGUGUCCAGACUCUUUUCUAGUGUCACUUCUAUAGUGAAACCCUUGUUUCUGCUUUCUCACAAUUGUGCUAAAAAGCCCUUUGACGGGGGACACACUCAGAAACCCCUUGUACAACACGGAAAAAAAACAUUGUUUCACUUUAGAAACAGUUUAUUUGACCUCUCCCCUGAAGCAGAAUUCCCUUGUGUUUUAUUUAGAUACUUAAUAGCCAACUUUAUUAAAGGAACAAGAGCUUUGGUUGGAUAAUUUUUCAGACAAAAAAAAAAAAGUUACCCUGCUCCUGAUCCCUUUCAGCGGUUAAAAAGAAAGCUUUGGUCAAACAUUGGAGAAAUUAGCAACGCUUAUAAUAUGGAUUUUUUGUUUUUGUUUUGAAAAAAGAGAGAAUAGCAAGCUGCAAGCAACCAAUAUAAAAAGGGCGCUUAACAUAACCUAGUUGCAAGUUGGGAGUGGCCACAUGGAACCAUUAAGGGAAUUUUAUCCUUUUUUUCAGGGCUGGGUCAAGGAAAGGGCCUAGGAGCAGCAUGUAGCUGAGCAAAGAUGUUUUAGCAGUGUUCAUCUCCUGGAAUUAAUCCCCAGGCUACACAGCCACUCAGAUACUUACGAUCAAUUAAAAUGAUUGAUUGACUCCCCGAGACUUUCCUUUGUGGUUUUAAAUGCAAAACAUUCAAAAAGUGGGAACAUAGAAGAGGAAAUAUUUGCAAAUUACACAGACCACCCCCUCCCUCGCCCCCAGAGGAUCCCUGAGCCUACUGGGAGAUGUUACUGGGGAAAUGUGUUGUCCUGGGAGGUAGCAAAGUAAGGCUCCAUUAUUCAAG
rnacentral:lncRNA from 1 species